UUUUGUCAAUGAACUUACAUUAGGGUGAACGUAGGAGGGUGGUGGGGCAGGGUGGCCAUAUCAUGUGGGAAAAUGCCUUGCAGAGGAAUCCUUUGUUUCAGAUUUUAAUAAACGUGCACCUGAAACAAAACAAACAAACAAACAAAAAA